UCAAUGGAUUGCCAGUGGGGACUUACCAGGCUUUUCCAAAUAUUCAUCCACCUCAGAUACCAGCCACUCCCCCAUCAUAUGAAUCUGUUGAUGACAUUAAUGCUGAUAAGAAUGUCUCUUCUGCACAGAUUGUUGGUCCUGGACCCAAGCCCGAAGCCUCUGCAAAAGCCCCUCCCAGACCUGCAGAAAACUACAACUUUGUACUGCCAGAGUUGCCAUCUGUG